rnacentral:rRNA from 1 species
UACGAAGGGGGCGAGCGUUGUUCGGAUUUACUGGGCGUAAAGGGUGUGUAGGCGGUUGCUUAAGUUUGGUGUGAAAUCUCCCGGCUCAACUGGGAGGGUGCGCCGAAUACUGAGUGACUAGAGUGCGGGAGAGGAAAGCGGAAUUCCACGUGUAGCGGUGAAAUGCGUAGAGAUGUGGAGGAACACCAGUGGCGAAGGCGGCUUUCUGGUCUGUAACUGACGCUGAGGCGCGAAAAGCGUGGGGGAGCAAACAGG